GGGGUUGUACUGGUUUCGACGGGGGUUGUGCAGCUAUGGAAGCCAUUGGCGGCUCCUGACCGCCUCAUCAACGGGAACAAUAAAUAUAAACGCUGAAGAUAAUUUAGCAAUCGCUGCCUAGUUGCAGCAGUCGGCCUUAGAUCACCCACAGUUUAAGUAACCGGCUUCGACGAUGUGGGAAACGACAUAUCCUAAGCUUUGCGGAUAUGGGCGUAUCAUGAAGCUACUAAAACCGAAAGCCUGUCAUUCGGCGUUCGGCAGAGGGAAUGAGAAAGGAAUGACUGUAAUGGGAGAUGCCAUAGUGAAUUGACUUUCGGACAGGGGUUCGAUUCCCCUCAGCUCCACUU
rfam:Lachnospiraceae bacterium 3-1 genomic scaffold acPFp-supercont1.8, whole genome shotgun sequence.